ensembl:lncRNA
UGUGUAGAUAUCUCAUGCUGUGAGAGUGGGAUGUGUAGAUAUCUCAUGCUGUGAGAGUGGGAUGUGUAGAUAUCUCAUGCUGUGAGAGUUGGAUGUGUAGAUAUCUCAUGCUGUGAGGGUGGGAUGUGUAGAUAUCUCAUGCUGUGAGGGUGGGAUGUGUAGAUAUCCCAUGCUGUGAGGGUGGGAUGUGUAGAUAUCUCAUGCUGUGAGAGUAGGAUGUGUAGAUAUCUCAUGCUGUGAGAGUAGGAUGUGUAUAUCUUCCAUGCUGUGAGGGUAGGAUGUGUAGAUAUCUCAUGCUGUGAGAGUAGGAUGUGUAUAUCUUCCAUGCUGUGAGGGUGGGAUGUGUAUAUCUUCCAUGCUGUUUGCCCUCACAGCUAUCUUCUCUCACUCUCUCUCUCCAUACUUUUCUUCCUCCUUCUCUCUCUAAAGGUAAUGCUUCAAGGGCUCCUGAUUUAAACCAGCUUAAAGUGAUCAUGUUUACACUAUCAGAGCCAGUGAUCUACCACACAGGGUGUCGCCG